rnacentral:rRNA from 1 species
GGAGCACGUGAAAUUCCGUGUGAAUCCGCGAGGACCACCUCGUAAGGCUAAAUAUUCCUGAAUGACCGAUAGCGUAAUAGUACCGCGAGGGAAAGGUGAAAAGAACCCCGGGAGGGGAGUGAAAUAGAACAUGAAACCAUAAGCUUACAAGCAGUAGGAGGACGAUUUAACGUUUGACUACGUUCCUGUUGAAGAAUGCGCCGGCGACUUAUAGGUAAUGGCUUGGUUAAAGUAGCGAAUACUGGAGCCCUAGCGAAAGCGAGUCUGAGAAGGGCGUUUGUCAUUAUUUAUAGACCCGAACCCGGAUGAUCUAACCAUGGCCAGGAUGAAGCUUAGGUGAUACUAAGUGGAGGUCCGAACCGACUGAUGUUGAAAAAUCAGCGGAUGAGUUGUGGUUAGGGGUGAAAUGCCAAUCGAAUCCGGAGCUAGCUGGUUCUCCCCGAAAUGUGUUUAGGCGCAGCGGUUAAUGUUAUAGUUUAGGGGUAAAGCACUGUUUCGGUGCGGGCUGGUAAAACGGUACCAAAUCGAGGCAAACUAAGAAUACUAAAUGAAUAAUUAACCAGUAAGACUAUGGGGGAUAAGCUCCAUUGUCAAGAGGGAAACAGCCCAGAGCACCAGUUAAGGCCCCCAAAUAAUUGCUAAGUGGUAAAGGAGGUGGGAUUGCAGAAACAAUCAGGAGGUUUGCUUAGAAGCAGCAAUCCUUUAAAGAGUGCGUAAUAGCUCACUGAUCGAGUAAACCUGCGCCGAAAAUGAACGGGACUAAGUAAUUUGCCGAAACUGUGCGAUAUAUUAAAAUAUAUCGGUAGAGGAG